CCCAGGCUCCUCGGGACUCGGCGGGUCCUCCUGGGAGUCUCGGAGGGGACCGGCUGUGCAGACGCCAUGGAGUUGGUGCUGGUCUUCCUCUGCAGCCUGCUGGCCCCCAUGGUCCUGGCCAGUGCAACAGAGCCCCAGAAAGCAGAGAACUGAAGUGCAGCCAUCAGGUGGAAGGUGAGAUGCUCAGUGCCUGGAUUGGCCCCUGUUGCCAUCACCGUCUGCAUCAGGGCCUGGACAGGGGUUCAGGCGGGAAGGAUGGGGCUAGCUUUUGCAGUGGGCACAGCUUUUAUUAUGGGCCCUGCCCUGAGGAGCCUUCAGGAGUCUGAAAGGGGCUGUGAGAGAGACCAGGACUAGAAACACCCGAAGUGUCCCACACACAUGCAUGCCAACACCAGGAAAUGGGGCUUCCACACAGCCCACUGGCCGAGUGCAUAGGGCGUCAUCCCAAGUGCAACAUGGGAGAAUUAGAGUUAGUGAAAUGCUCCUAAUCUCAAAGUAGCAUAAAGAUAAUGGCUUUCCGUGGUGACUCAGAAAGUACUUUAGGGCCACUUGUUUUUUUAAACACCUUAUUAUGAAACUUCCCAACCCUAACCAAAAGUAGAGCAAAUAGUAUAUGAUCCUUCCCUCUCCACAUUUAAGGGCACUGAUUUUAGUAUCUAUUUCCAUUGUUCAUCGUAGGGGGCACAGGAGAGUAGUAACUGGCAAAUGCUGUACAGUUUUCAGAGUGCCACCACACACACAGACUCACUCGAGUCUGCCAGAAAAAGAGGAUGGGACAGGUGGGGUUUAGCCCAUUUUAUAGGUGAAACCAAGAUGAGAGGGAAUAGCCCCGUGGAGAGUGACAGCCCGGACUGUGAACUCAGGCCUUUGCGGCUGUGGUUCAGCGCCACUGCUCCCCUCUGUCCUGUGCGUCUCGCUUUAUGACAUGCCCU
rnacentral:lncRNA from 10 species